UACGUAGGUGGCAAGCGUUGUCCGGAUUUACUGGGCGUAAAGAGCGCGCAGGCGGUCGUUCAAGUCGCGUGUGAAAGCCCCCGGCUCAACUGGGGAGGGUCACGCGAUACUGAUCGACUCGAAGGCAGGAGAGGGUAGUGGAAUUCCCGGUGUAGUGGUGAAAUGCGUAGAUAUCGGGAGGAACACCGGUGGCGAAGGCGGUUCUCUGGGCAUGAUCUGACGCUGAGGAGCGAAAGCGUGGGGAGCAAACAGG
rnacentral:rRNA from 1 species